AUUGAGUAAUUGUACUACCACAGAGAUGGAAAUGUACCCACUUCAUCUAUCGAAAAGUACCUUCUACAGAAGCUCAGUCAUCAAGUCAGUUUGAGGUGAUGAGCGAAACUUGAAAAAUAUUAGUGCUGAUAUUAGGGCAGUUUUGUGCAAAGAAAUGCACAGGCUUUGUAAUGCUUGGUCCCAGCCUUUGGGACGUGUGGAAUUCAAUGGGGUAGGCGAUGUCUGCGAAUAUGGAUGCCUGCAUUGCCGUAGAGAGCAUAUCAAUUCUUGAGAAGCUCCAUUCUAAAGGUGAGGAUGGAAGUUUCAAUUGUGGGUAUUCAAGCAUUAGAGGUAGAAGAAGACCAAGCAGGGAAGACUUCUAUGACAUCAAAUCAAAUCAUCAACAUUUUAUGAUAAACAAAUAAACUUGUUUACGUUUGAAAUUUACCCAUUUGAAAUUGUUUACAUUUUAAAUUUACCCAUGGCGUUAGCACGGGCAUACUUACUAGUGAACUUAGUAGUCACAUAGAUUUGAUUGUCAUUUAAAAACAUCCAUUUGUAGCCUGUAAAAUAGAUUUGUGCUUUGUAGCCUGUAAAAUAGAUUUGUGCUUUGAACGGCCAUUUGCUUCUUUUGUAUUGCACAUCAACAUCAUACAAAUAAUAUGUUAGAUACUUAGAUA